rnacentral:SRP_RNA from 1 species
GCUGGGCACGGUGGCGCGCACCUGUAGUCCCAGCUACUCGGGAGGCUGAGGCAGGAGAAUUGCUUGAACCCAAGAGGCGGAGGUUGUGGUGAGCCGAGAACAUGCCAUUGCACUCCAGUCUGCGUAACAACAGGGAAACUCCAUCUCAAAAAAAAAAAAAAAAAAAGAGACAGAGUCCUGCUCUUUUAUGCAGGCUGGAGUGCAGUGGUGCAAUCUCGGCUCACUGCAACUUCCGCCUCCUGGGUUCAAGCUAUUCUCCUGCCUCAA